rnacentral:rRNA from 1 species
CCUAGGGGAGGCAGCAGUGGGGAAUAUUGGGCAAUGGGCGCAAGCCUGACCCAGCAACGCCGCGUGAAGGAAGAAGGCUUUCGGGUUGUAAACUUCUUUUUAGAGGGAAGAGCAGUAGACGGUACCUCUUGACUAAGCCACGGUUAACUACGUGCCAGCAGCCGCGGUAAUACGUAGGUGGCCAGCGUUGUCCGGAUUUACUGGGUUUAAAGGGCGUGUAGCCGGGCUGACAAGUCAGAUGUGAAAUCCCGUGGCUCAACCACGGAACUGCAUUUGAAACUGUCGGUCUUGAGUAUCGUAGAGGCAGGCGGAAUUCGUGGUGUAGCGGUGAAAUGCGUAGAUAUUAGGAGGAACACCAGUGGCGAAGGCGGCCUGCUAGACGACAACUGACGGUGAGGCGCGAAAGCGUGGGGAGCAAACAGGAUUAGAUACCCCAGUAGUC